UGCAGUCGAGCGCUGUAGCAAUACAGAGCGGCGCACGGGUGAGUAACGCGUGGGAACGUGCCCAUCGAUUCGGAAUAACUCAGGGAAACUUGUGCUAAUACCGAAUACGCCCCUAGGGGGAAAGAUUUAUCGUCGAUGGAGCGGCCCGCGUCCGAUUAGCUUGUUGGUGGGGUAAUGGCUUACCAAGGCUACGAUGCUUAACUGGUCUGAGAGGAUGAUCAGUCACACUGGAACUGAGACACGGUCCAGACUCCUACGGGAGGCAGCAGUAGGGAAUAUUGCACAAUGGGGGAAACCCUGAUGCAGCAAUGCCACGUGAGUGAGGAAGGCCUUCGGGUUGUAAAGCUCUGUUCUUAGGGAAAAAUGGUUUGGUAGCUAAUAUCUAUCAGAUUUGAUGGUACCUAAGGAGAAAGCACCGGCUAACUCCGUGCCAGCAGCCGCGGUAAUACGGAGGGCGCAAGCGUUGUUCGGAUUUAUUGGGCGUAAAGCGCGCGCAGGCGGGUUUGCAAGUCAGAUGUGAAAUCUCGGGGCUCAACUCCGAAACUGCGUCUGAAACUACAAAUCUAGAAUCUCAUAGGGGGUAGGGGAAUUUCACGUGUAGGGGG
rnacentral:rRNA from 1 species